GACGAACGCUGGCGGCGUGCUUAACACAUGCAAGUCGAACGGGAUUUAGUAAACAGAAGCCUCGGUGGAAGAUUACUAAUCAGAGUGGCGAACGGGUGAGUAACGCGUGAGCAACCUGCCUAUGACAGUGGGAUAGCCUCGGGAAACCGGGAUUAAUACCGCAUAAAAUCGUAGAAACACAUGUUUUAACGGUCAAAGAUUUAUCGGUCAUAGAUGGGCUGGCGUCUGAUUAGCUAGUUGGUGAGAUAACAGCCCACCAAGGCGACGAUCAGUAGCCGGUCUGAGAGGAUGAACGGCAACAUUGGAACUGAGACACGGUCCAAACUCCUACGGGAGGCAGCAGAGGGGAAUAUUGCACAAUGGGGGAAACCCUGAUGCAGCGACGCCGCGUGAACGAAGAAGGUAUUCGUAUCGUAAAGUUCUGUCCUAUGGGAAGAUAAUGACAGUACCAUAGAAGAAAGCGCCGGCUAAAUACGUG
rnacentral:rRNA from 1 species